ensembl:lncRNA
UCCAGCUAUAUAUUUAUAUCUAUAUCUAUAUUUCCUUGUGUCCCUCUGUGUGUAUUUAUGUUGUGUGAACUUGUGUGCUCCUUACUAGUCCGUCUGGGAAAGUCUCCGUGAAACUGUCCACGUGUCUACUUUACAUUCUUCCUGCCCUUCUCCUCCUCCAUGUCCCCUUCCUUCUCCUUCCCCUUUGUCUUCAGGUUUGCCAUUGUAUAGUUUAGUUUCUCCCAGUUUAGAUUGUCCUUAGUUCUGUUUUUGCCAUCCCCACUUUGUAUUCAGUCAUUUAUAAUAAAUCUCCCUCGCAUCUCAGUAAGUGCCUGCGUUUGAGUCCUUUUUCCCACACACUACACGACUGUUUCCCCAGCUGUGACAGGCUGUGGAAUAAAAACAUAGGAAAUUAUUUUCACUGUUUAGCUUUCAGUGUUGACUUUCAUUUAGUUUUUAAUACACAACUAAACAAAUCCAUCAUAUUGAAAUAAAAAUAUCAAAGACAAAAGAGCAGAAACUGCAGCAGCUUAUUUUUCAGCUGCUGUAUCAAAUAAAAGGAGUAAAACCUCCUUCAUCUGUGUCACUGCGUUAGUUUUCAGGUCUUUCAAAUCUGACUCCAACAGUUUUCUCUGUGUUACACUUAUUAUUACACAAGCUGUAAAUGUUUAUUGGUUACAGACAUUUAACGUUUUAUUUUCAAAGUUGAGCCCAGACAUGAGUGUUUAGUGGAUGUUCUUUGGCUCAGACACCACAGAGAGAAGAACCAGAUGCUCUGUGUGAACAAAGUUGAAGCAGGAAAACUUUAAACAUUUCCUGCUUCCUCAUGACACAUCACAUGAGAACAAAAGCAGCUCCUCCUCCUCCUGACUGCAGAAACCUGUCUGACUCCAGCUGUGAACAUCAGACCACUCACAGCUAACUCCCAGUGAACAUCACUUCCAACAUUUCUCCUCUGGAAAGAUGGAAAAACUGGCUGUGAUUUGGAUCUUUGCAGCUCUCGUAGGUACGUAUGUUUCUGACAGGAACACCUGAAAUUCAAAGACAUGUUUACAGCGUUACAGAUCCAGUUUGGAUUUUCUUUGAGCUCAAGUUUGGAGUGAUGAUUAAACAGAAAAAUAUUUCAAGUGUGAAAUCAGAGAAACUUCAGAGAAAUCAGCAGUAAAAUGUGUCUUUAAAAAAUCCCCACAGUAAUACUCGUGGACAAUGUUAGUCUGAUGGCUUCGUUUUCUCUACUUUUUCCAGGACUAACAGCUGGAGACUCAAUCACGAGAUGAAGUCAUUGAAACAGAAGGAAAAUCUGUCACACUCACAUGUAACUAUCAGAUAAGUGGUGGUCGUUAUGUUGAUGAGAUGGGUUACAGUUAUAUUUACCUUCACUGGUACAGACCUUUCUGACCUUCAGGCUCCUCAGUUUAUACUCUGGAGAAUAUCAGGAGGAGGUGAUCAGUAUGCCCCGGAUAAUCGAUAUGGAUCAGAAACAUCUUCUACAUCAACUAAUCUGACCAUAACAGCCCUAACCCUGGCAGACACAGCUCUCUACUACUGUGCUCUACAAACACAGUGAUACAAAGUGUAGAAGAGGCUGUACAAAAACCUGAACACAGAUAUCUGACUACUCUUCAAAGAGGAGGGAAGUGGUAUUCAAAGCACAGCUUCAUAUCAGAUGGAUUCUGCUAAUUCCUGUUUUAUCAGAGUCACUGUGGUUA